GUUUGAUUAUGGCUCAGAUUGAACGCUGGUGGGAUGCUUUACAUACACGGGUCGGUGCGGCAACACGGACUUCGGUCUGGUGGCAGUGGCGAACGGGUGAAGUAAUGUAUCGGAACGUGCCCUAGUAGCGGGGGAUAACUGCAUGGCGUAGCUAAUACCGCAUACGCCCUUCGGGAAAAGCGGGGGGCCUUCGGGCCUCGCACUAAUCCGGCAGCCGAUAUCGGAUUAGCUGGACGGUGGGGUAACGGCUCACCAAGGCGACGAUCCGUAGCUGGUUUGAGAGGACGACCAGCCACACUGGGACUGAGACCUGUGCAGACUCCUACGGGAGGCAGCAGUGGGGAAUUUUGGACAAUGGGGAAGCCCUGAUCCAGCCAUCCCGCGUGUGCGAUGAAGGCGCUUCGGGUUGUAAGCACUUUUGGCAGGAAAGAAACGGCGCGGGAUAAUACCCCGUGCAACUGACAAGUACCUGCAGAAUAAGCACCGGCUAACUACGUGCCAGCAGCCGCGGUAAUACGUAGGGUGCAAGCGUUAUCCGAAUUACUGGGCGUAAAGCGUGCGCAGGCGGUUCGGAAAGAAAGAUGUGAAAUCCCGACUUAACUUUGGAACUGCAUUUUUAACUACCGAGCUAGAGUGUGUCAGAGGGAGGUGGAAUUCCUGUCUUAACAGUGAAAUGCGUAGAUAUGCGGAGGAACACCGAUGGCGAAGGCAGCCUCCUGGGAUAACACUGACGCUCAUGCACGAAAGCGAUGAGAGCAAACGGGAUUAGAAUGCCCUGACCGGAGUCCACGCCCUAAACGAUGUCAACUGGCUAUUUGGGGCCUUCGGGCCUUGGUAGCGCAACUAACGCGUGAAGUUGACCGCCUGGGAAAUACGGUCGCAAGAUUAAAAACUCAAAGGGGUGGCGGGGACCCGCACAAACGAAUGUGGAUGAUGUGGAUUAAUUCGAUGCAACACGAAAAACCUUACCUACCCUUGACGUAUCUGGAAUCUCUUUGAAGAUUUGAGUGCUCGCAAACCGAACCUGGUGGCUGACGCGGCUGUCGAAAUGUCGUGAGAUGAGCUGGAUUCAGUCACGCAACGAGCGCAACCCUUGUCAUUAGUUGCUACGAAAGGGCACUCUAAUGAGACUGCCGGUGACAAACCGGAGGAAGGUGGGGAUGACGUCAGAUCCUCGUGGCCCUUAUGGGUGGGCUUCACACGUCAUACAAUGGUCGGGACAAGAGGGUCGCCAACCGCGAGGGAGCCAAUCCCGAAACCCGAUCGCUAGUCCCGGAUCUGUGAUCUGCAACUCGACUGCGUGAAGUCGGAAUCGCUAGUAAUCGCGGAUCAGCAUGUCGCGGUGAAUACGGUGCUCCCGGGUCUUGUACACACCGCCCGUCACACCAUGGAGUGGGUUUACCAGAAGUAGUUAACAUAACCGUAAGGAGGGCGAUUACACACGUUGGGAUUCAUGACUGGGGUGAAGUCGUAACAAGGUAA
rnacentral:rRNA from 1 species